rnacentral:rRNA from 1 species
CAGUCGCCGCGGUAAUACGAAGGGUGCAAGCGUUACUCGGAAUUACUGGGCGUAAAGCGUGCGUAGGUGGUGGUUUAAGUCCGUUGUGAAAGCCCUGGGCUUAACCUGGGAAUUGCAGUGGAUACUGGAUCACUAGAGUGUGGUAGAGGAUAGUGGAAUUUCCGGUGUAGCAGUGAAAUGCGUAGAGAUCGGAAGGAACAUCUGUGGCGAAGGCGACUAUCUGGGCCAACACUGACACUGAGGCACGAAAGCGUGGGGAGCAAACAGGAUUAGAUACCCCAGUAGUCCCUGUCUCUUAUAC